rnacentral:snRNA from 1 species
UCACUUGAAAUACUCAAUUCGAA